rnacentral:siRNA from 1 species
CCCGGGCGUCGAACAGUCAG